UACGAAGGGGGCUAGCGUUGUCCGGAAUUAUUGGGCGUAAAGCGCGCGCAGGCGGUCCUUUAAGUCUGAUGUGAAAGCCCACGGCUCAACCGUGGAGGGUCAUUGGAAACUGGGGGACUUGAGUGCAGAAGAGGAAAGCGGAAUUCCACGUGUAGCGGUGAAAUGCGUAGAGAUGUGGAGGAACACCAGUGGCGAAGGCGGCUUUCUGGUCUGUAACUGACGCUGAGGCGCGAAAGCGUGGGGAGCAAACAGG
rnacentral:rRNA from 1 species